UUGGCUCAACCACGCCGCAACCACGCGGUGUCUCACGGACAAGAAAGCAGAGGUGUCAGAUCUAGCAGCAGCUGAUGCAAGAGGCGACGCGGCGGCCAGCAUCUGGAGCAGCAAAGCCAUGGCGACGACAGGGAAGUGGAAGCGUGGUGACGACUUAGAGCAUCGACCGACCCUCUGCCACACAGAGCCUCAGCAAUGUGAAGAUGAAGAUUCUACUGAUGGAUUAUUAUAACAUAGUUUUCAACAAGCCGCUUCUAUACAAUUGCUGAGAAAAAUCAAGGGCGGUCUUAAGUGACUGCUGCUAGCCAGGGCUGCGUCGGGCGCCCGUUGCGACGGGCAUCGACCAUCCUGCGAGGGGCCGUGGAGUGGCUGUUGUGAACCGGCCGCGGACGUUGCGAAUGGUGCUGCGAAGGGGACACACAGUGGGCUAGAUUAUUGCUGGUUGCUAUGACACUGAGUGGUGAGCGGCUGGGGCAGAGACUUGAAGCAUCGCCUAGCCGUCGGAGCAUCAGCGGUGCAGCAAAUGGAGCAUUACCAGUGCUGCGAUGGAGCUUUCGAUAGGUCAUCGGAGCAUCAUCGGGCCGCCAACAGUGCUGCAGUGGAGCUUCUCGGGUUGUCAGAGCAUCGCCGGAGCAUCUCCGGUGCUGCAACGGAGCAUCGUCGGGCCGCCAAAACAUUGUCAGUGCUGCAGUGGAGCUUCUCGGGUUGUCAGAGCAUCGCCGGAGCAUCUCCGGUGCUGCGACGGAGCAUCGUCGGGCCGCCAAAACAUUAUCAGUGCUGCAGUGGAGCUUCUCAGGUUGUCAGAGCAUCGCCGGAGCAUCUCAGGUGCUGCGACGGAGCAUCGUCGAGCCGCCGAAACAUCAUCAGUGCUGCAGUGGAGCUUCUCGGGUUGUCAGAGCAUUGCCGGUGCUGCGAUGGAGCAUCGUUGAGCCGCUGAAACAUCAUCGGUGCUGCCGUGGAGCUUCUCGGGUUGUCAGAGCAUUGCCGGUGCCGCGACAGAGCAUCGUCGAGCCGCUGAAACAUCAUCGGUGCUGCGGUGGAGCUUAUCGGGUUGUCGGAGCAUUGCCGGAGCAUCGUCAGGCCGUCGAAACAUCAUCGGUGCUAUAGUGGAGCUUCUUGGGUCGUCGGAGCAACGCCAGGCCCGAAACAUCAUCGGUGCUCCGGUGGAGCUUCGCAGGCCAUCGGAGCAUUGCCGGCGCAUCGCCGGUGCUGUGACAGAGCAUCGUCAGGCCGACGAAACAUCAUUGGUGCUGUACUGGAGCUUCUCGGGUCAUCAAAGUAUUGCCAGGCCGCCAAAACAUCAUCGGUGCUCUGCUGGAGCUUCGUCGGCCGACUGAGCAUUGCUAGAGCAUCAUCCGUGCUGCACUGGAGCAUUGCCAGGUCAUCAAAGCAUUGCCGAAGCACCGCUGACGCUAUGGAGGAGCAUCGCCUGAGCUGUCGGGGCAUCACGAGCAGAGCAAUGGAGCAUCACCAGUUCCUUAAGGAAUUACGCCCGUGGUGUUGGGACAGUAGUGAUGUUGUGUUGGUGGCUGGAAAUGCUGCAAAGAGACAUGGGGGCACGGUGGAUGGAAAUGAUAGUGUGAUCCUACCAGGGAA